ensembl:scaRNA small Cajal body-specific RNA 18
UGGCCAGUAAGAACUUGAUCACUGUGUAGUCUGAGUUUCUGGGAACCAAGAGAUGGAGUGUGUUCUGAAAAAAAGACAGAUCA